rnacentral:rRNA from 1 species
AUACGUAGGGAGCAAGCGUUAUCCGGAUUUACUGGGUGUAAAGGGCGCGUAGGCGGGACGACAAGUCAGGUGUGAAAUCUAUGGGCUCAACCCAUAAACUGCACUUGAAACUGUUGUUCUUGAGUGAUGGAGAGGCAAGUGGAAUUCCUAGUGUAGCGGUAGAAAUGCGUAGAUAUUAGGAGGAACACCAGUGGCGAAGGCGACUUGCUGGACAUUAACUGACGCUGAGGCGACGAAAGCGUGGGGAGC